UACGAAGGUCCCAAGCGUUAUCCGGAUUUAUUGGGUUUAAAGGGUGCGUAGGCGGGCUAUUAAGUCAGUGGUGAAAGCCCCAAGCUUAACUUGGGAACUGCCAUUGAUACUGAUGGUCUUGAGUACAUUUGAGGUGGGCGGAAUGUGUCAUGUAGCGGUGAAAUGCUUAGAUAUGACACAGAACACCGAUUGCGAAGGCAGCUCACUAAACUGUAACUGACGCUGAGGCUCGAAAGCGUGGGGAGCAAACAGG
rnacentral:rRNA from 1 species